GUCGAGCCUGCGACUUUUGUUGCAGAAAGCUCGACAUAGGGAUAGUGAUCCGGCGGCGUUAGCUAACUUCUUAAAAGCGUUAUAUUUUAGAAGGUGGAAGAUCUGGAUGCUUCAUACUUUGUAUAUGGAUGCCUCAUGUUACGAAGUUUCCGUCAGUCACAUGUCCAAUGUCCUUGACCUCAUUUUCAUGGUUCAGUGACUACUUGAAAAAAAAGUUAAGAUUUUUUGUAAUGUUAAAUUCUCUCUUAUUAUAAGUAAUAGGAUAAAUAUAUUUGGUAUGUUCGUACCUUGCAAGGUCCUCAUGCCCGUCAGACAGUUUUCACUUGACCUCGACCUCAUUUCAUGGAUCAAUGAACAAGGUUAAGUUUUGGUGGUCAAGUCCAUAUCUCAGAUACUAUAAGCAAUAGGUCUAGUAUAUUCGGUGUAUGGAAGGACUGUAAGUUGUACAUGUCCAACUGGCAGGUGUCAUCUGACCUUGACCUCAUUUUCAUGGUUCAGUGGUUAUAGUUAAGUUUUUGUGUUUUGGUCUGUUUUUCUUAUACUGUAUGCAAUAGGUCUACUAUAUUUGGUGUAUGGAAUGAUUGUAAGGUGUACAUGUCUAGCUGGCAGGUGUCAUCUGACCUUGACCUCAUUUUCAUGGUUCAGUGGUCAAAGUUAAGUUUUUGAGUUUUGGUCUUUUUUUCUAAUACUGCAUGCAAUAGGUCAGCUAUAUUUGGUGUAUGGAAUGAUUGUAAGGUGUACAUGUCUAGCUGGCAGGUGUCAUCUGACCUUGACCUCAUUUUCAUGGUUCAGUGGUCAAAGUUAAGUUUUUGAGUUUUGGUCUUUUUUUCUAAUACUAUAUGCAAUAGUUCAACUAUAUUUGGUGUAUGGAAAUAUUUUAUGACCUAUAUGUCAGUCACGCAGGUUUUAUUUGACCUUGACCUCAUUUUCAAGGUUCAUUGCUCAGUGUUAAGUUUUUGUGUUUUCGUCUGUUUUUCUUAAACUAUAAGCAAUAGGUCAACUAUAUUUGUUGUAUGGAAGAAUUGUUAGCUGUACAUGCCUGCCUAGCAUGGUUCAUCUGACCUUGACCUCAUUUUCAUGGUUCAUUGGUCAAUGUUUAGUUUACUUGGUUAAUGUUAAGUUUAUGUGACAGUUGUAAUAAAGCUUUAUAUUUAGGACUAUCAACAUAAUAUCAAUGAUUAGUAAAGAAGGCGAGACAUUUCAGCGUGUGCACUCUUGUUUUAAA